GCUGAAAGGGCUCAGGUGGUAGAGCGCACGCUUGGUAAGGGUGAGGUCCCCAGUUCGACUCUGGGUAUCAGCACCA
rnacentral:tRNA from 1 species